ACAACCCUUUAGAAAAAGAAUCAACAGAAUCUGUUGAUUCGUAUAGGUUCACUUGAUUGACUAUUGAAUUGUAAGUUUCGGUCACGAUUUAGGUAUAUUUGUGAUUCACUCCAUAGAUUCUAAUCGUACGAAUCGAAUUGAGAAGCAUAAGAUUCUAAAGCAGAGUUGUAAAGUGCAAAUGAGUCAUACAUACCCUGUGGUCAACAUGUAAAAAAUAAAUAAUUAAAUAUUGUCAAAAUAUAUUAAAAAUAUAAUAUUACUGUCUUAUAAUCUGACUAAACAAAAUUUAAUACUCUGAAAACUAUUAAAAAAAAAUAUUAUUAACACUAUCAAAUACAUCUCUCUUUAUA
rnacentral:misc_RNA from 1 species